UUGACCUCGGAUCAGGUAGGGAUACCCGCUGAACUUAAGCAUAUCAAUAAGCGAAGGAA
rnacentral:rRNA from 1 species